rnacentral:rRNA from 1 species
AGUGAACGCUGGCGGUAGGCCUAACACAUGCAAGUCGAACGGAAGCACAGUAAGAGCUUGCUCUUACGGGUGGCGAGUGGCGGACGGGUGAGGCAUACAUCGGAAUCUACUUUUUCGUGGGGGAUAACGUAGGGAAACUUACGCUAAUACCGCAUACGACCUACGGGUGAAAGCAGGGGAUCUUCGGACCUUGCGCGAUUGAAUGAGCCGAUGUCGGAUUAGCUAGUUGGCGGGGUAAAGGCACACCAAGGCGACGAUACGUAGCUGGUCUGAGAGGAUGAUCAGCCACACUGGAACUGAGACACGGUCCAGACUCCUACGGGAGGCAGCAGUGGGGAAUAUUGGACAAUGGGCGCAAGCCUGAUCCAGCCAUACCGCGUGGGUGAAGAAGGCCUUCGGAUUGUAAAGCCCUUUUGUUGGGAAAGAAAAGCAGCAGGUUAAUACCCCGCUGUUCUGACGGUACCUAAAGAAUAAGCACCGGCUAACUUCGUG